CGGGUCAAGAAAACCCGACCUAAGAUCCGUUGGAUCGACUCUUCAACCUUGAAACACGCGGAAUGGCGUUUCCAACACCUUGAGAGGGUCAACCGACCUUUGGGCAGUGAGAAAUCUUGGCUCUCAUUCAUGGCCAUUAAACUCUAUUAAAGAAUUAAACAGAAGAGGAAUAUCGUUCAAGCUUGAACGUCUCUUCCACCUUCCCUUACUCAGAUUUUAAAGCCAGCGAAUAUUAUUCAAUCGGUAAUGGUUAAAACAUUUUCAUCCUCAUCUAAAUCUCCCCUUCUCCACUCAGCGGUAUUUAUCGGAACACAGGGAAAGUCAAAGAUUAUUGUCGUCGCAAAAGAAAUAGAUCUACAUUUGUAAACUCAAUGGUAAACUACUAUGAAACUCUAUCAGCAAAAAUUGGAAGAAACUCAAUCAAUACAGGCAAUUCAAAGCGGAAUCGAAUCACAAAUCACGCAGAAAGAAAAGGAAAAUCAUGCAUUCAUUCGGUCAUUACCAAAACUACGCAGGGCAAGGAGUGCAGAGUAGAGCUUUUACCAACUCGAAACCUCGCGAAGAUGAAUGAGCGGGUGUGUAUCUUCUGUUUUAUCCCGGCUCCUUGAUCUUUCUUGGCUUCAAGGGGAUUCCAGCAGCUUAACAGUGCAAAAUUUCUCCUCCUUUUUUCGGUGAUUGCGUGCCUCUCUUUAUAGAACUCAGAACAUACUCCCUCUAAUCGUGAGUUGGCCAGGUUUCUCCAAAUCAUUCGGUUAGAAUGAAAUCUUUUUUUCAAAUCUAGUGUGGUCCCCAAGUUCUCGCAGGUGGAAAGAUAAGUUGGCUUCAUUCGUUAGACCCUAUGGAAUGCACGUAACCGUUCUUAAUGGCUUCCCUCUUUUUUCCGCGCUAAGACCUGUGUUUUGUUAUGGUGAGAAUUUCGAUUUAUUAUCCAAGAAAGUUUUGAAACACUUCUAGGACCCCACCACAUCUCAGCUGCUGCAGCACGAGUCCUGGCUCAUAUGAUCUAGGUGAUUGGAGAUUAUUGGGCUUGAUGCAACGAAUAAAAUGAGGUGUGGUAUUCUCUAAACGUUGCAUUAGUUGAAACACUUGUCCCUUGAAUUUUGUGGCAACACUUAGCUUUUGGGAAUCUGCCCCAUUUAACUUGUGCAAGGGACCAACUACAGGCUUCCUAGAUUGAGUGAGCAUAUAGGAUGCAAAUAUCUGAGGAAGAUGACAUUUGCUUGAGGGUAGAAGUUGGCUGGAAUCCAUGUGCAAGAGGUCCCUGUUCUUUUCUAAGAAUGCAGUUGUCUCAUAAGUGACCUCUCCUACAUAAUGACGCAAGGUUGGUAAUUUGGGACUUUUUUCUUGGGACUUUUGGGUUUGAUCUGAUAUGCGACUUACCGCAGGUUUUGCUGUGACCACCGAUGUAUUGCAGAGUACUGAUUAUCUUACAUAUGUGUAAGCAUGCGGCAAGCUUCCAAGAGGAUUAACAGUGUUGCAGGUCUUGGUCGUACUGAUGUUCAUGUUUUUGCAUUUUGAGAUUGUGCUGCAUAUUUAAAGCAAGUUAGGUGACGAAUUUCGUGGGCCCUAUCCUUGAUUACCAGUUCAUGACUCAGUCUCAGCCGAACUUCAAACAGAUGUGCCCUCCGCGGCGCUCACAUGACUACUUGGAUUGUACAAGCGGAACCAAAUGGUGGUUCUGAUGAUUUCCGCUGAGAAGAUGCGGUAUGAACAACUUCUAACACACUAGCUAGAUCCAUGGAACUUUGCGAUAUCAAGGGGUUUGUAUUGACUUGCGAAGCACCAUUUCUAGGUUGUUGAUCAGUUGCGCUUAAUGACUCGGAAUGCACCUGCAGUUGGUGAUGGUUUGGGAGCAACAACAGCAGGCUGUGUUGGUUUAGCUGAACCAAAUAGUGUAACUGGUGGAUUGAGUGGUUGGCUUGGAUUUGAACUGCAUCCAGAACAUGGAGCUUGACUUUUCAUCCUUUGCGUGAUUUGAUCGCCUUCUGCCUUUCCUUUUCCAGGCAGAUUGGAAUUUAUGACGUGGUUUUGCCGUUUGUGGUAGUUUUGUAGGUUACAGCUUAUGCUUUAGAAGCGUUGUAGUGUUUAUCGGAUGUUAAAGCCUCCAUUGGUUCAAUAUAUAAUAAUUAUUAUUGGAAUGGAAUGAAAAUCUUGCAGCCUUGGGUUUCUUUGUAAUAUAACUUGGAUUAAUGAAUCUUUGUAAUAUUCCUUUGAAUAAAUGAAACGUUUUCUCUUUUUCCUCU